CGGGAAACCGGAGCUAAUACCGGAUAAUAUUCGAACCGCAUGGUUCGAUAGUGAAAGGUGGUUUUGCUAUCACUUAUAGAUGGACCCGCGCCGUAUUAGCUAGUUGGUAAGGUAACGGCUUACCAAGGCGACGAUACGUAGCCGACCUGAGAGGGUGAUCGGCCACACUGGAACUGAGACACGGUCCAGACUCCUACGGGAGGCAGCAGCA
rnacentral:rRNA from 1 species